UAUUCUGGCUCAGGAUGAACGCUAGCGGCAGGCUUAACACAUGCAAGUCGAGGGGCAGCGCGGGGCGGCAACGUCCUGGCGGCGACCGGCGGAAGGGUGCGUAACGCGUGAGCGACAUGCCCGUUGCCCGGGGACAACCGGUGGAAACGCCGACUAAUCCCCGAUGGGACGGAGGCCCUCAUGGGUCUCUGUUGAAAGUUACGGCGGCGACGGAUUGGCUCGCGUCCGAUUAGCUUGUUGGCGGGGUAACGGCCCACCAAGGCUACGAUCGGUAGGGGUUCUGAGAGGAAGGUCCCCCACAAUGGAACUGAGACACGGUCCAUACUCCUACGGGAGGCAGCAGUGAGGAAUAUUGGUCAAUGGGCGGAAGCCUGAACCAGCCAUGCCGCGUGCGGGAAGGAGGCCCUAUGGGCUGUGAACCGCUUUUGCCUGGGGGCAAUAAGGGCGUCGCGCACGUCCGAUGAGAGUACCAGGGGAAUAAGCAUCGGCUAACUCCGUGCCAGCAGCCGCGGUAAUACGGGGGAUGCGAGCGUUAUCCGGAUUCAUUGGGUUUAAAGGGUGCGUAGGCUGUGCGUCAAGUCAGGGGUGAAAUUCCGGGGCUCAACUCCGGGGCUGCCCUUGAUACUGUCGCGCUGGAGUGCGGAUGCCGCCGGAGGAAUGAGUGGUGUAGCGGUGAAAUGCUUAGAUAUCACUCAGAACACCGAUUGCGAAGGCAUCUGGCGAAUCCGUAACUGACGCUGAGGCACGAAAGCGUGGGGAUAGAACAGGAUUAGAUACCCUGGUAUUCCACGCCGUAAACGAUGAUGGCUAACCGCCGGCGACAUACUGUCGGUGGCCAAGCGAAAGCGAUAAGCCAUCCACCUGGGGAGUACGUCGGCAACGAUGCAACUCAAAGGAAUUGACGG
rnacentral:rRNA from 1 species